CGUCGCACAAAAUGAUUGAAUUUCACUUUUAAAAUCUCCUCAAGCUUCAUGUUAAGUCAAAUUACGUAUGUUUAGUUUUAAAGUAAUCUUGUUCUUUAGAUAAUUGUCUCAAUAAUCGAAUAUCGAAGAGUUCAAUUCAAUCCAAGGAAAAUUGUUCAAACUAUGAGUGAUCAUGAAUAAAAAAUGGAUAAUUUACACGUAAAAUUUGCCUCAAAAUUUGUUUUGAAAAAUAACCAUAACUCUGGCUAUGAUUUAAAUUUUGAAAAUUUAAAAUGCUAGUGCCGCGCACAAAAAUGUUCCGCGCAUUUAAAACGUGUCGAUAAUGCGCCCAAACCAAUGUCGCGUUGGAUAAUAAAGAAUAAGCUGGUUGAAUUCACAAUUUUCAUUUUUUGUUACAGUUUGUUGCUUUGUGUGGCAGCCAUAUUGGUUUUGUGCGUGCGCAACUAUUGCGCGCUAUCUACAUAUCUUACCGUUAAAUGUACGUUUACAGAUUUAAUCGAGAUCUUUGCGAGGCUUUCAUAAUUAUGUAAUAUGUAUGAUAUAGCUUGAUAUGCUGUUACUUCAAAUUGCUGUAAUUUCUAUUUAUAUUGACUUAAGUCGAGUACAAAAUGAAAUUAUUUGCUCUCUAAUUUUAAGGAUGACGACCUGCAACUGAAAUUGAGUGAUAUUCGACUAUUUCAAUUUAGAUUCGCUAGUCAACAAAAUGGUUGCUCACUCCGAAAUAACGACUUUCAAGUAAUGGAUCCGACCGCUGAUAUUAAAAUUGAAGAGUUAGAUUUCAUUGGAACAUGGAAUUACUGUAAUGGAAAAUAAAACAGGUCUUGCUGAGGAUGAAGAAAUGUUAUGUGGGGAGAAAAUGGGCUACUGGAAGUGGACCUUCUUAAACAAAGACGACUUUCACAAAAUGUUUAAAAGAUCACGGUCGCGGCAUCGAACCCUGGACGCUUCCCCUGCCACGGUCAGACACUCGAGAAUAGUACUAGUAGUGUGCGCUACUCGAGCUGUUGAUAUAUGAGUUCUUCGGUGUUAUUUAUAUAAUUGUAAUAUGUAAUGACUGACAGUGCGAGAUAUCUUUUUUUGUUUCUAUUUGAUGUGUUUAGUGUUUGUGUUGCAUUCUAAUAUAAACCGCGUAUUAGUUUCGUGUCAAUUUUAAUUUGAUAAGUUUAUCUUUAAACUGUAUUUAUUAGCAGUAAUAGUUACAUUUUGGUAUUAUACCUAUAUUUAUUAUUGUAAUACUGUUGUAUAAUGCUGUUUCUUCCUCAUUGUAGCUUACAUAUAGGAUAGCAUACUUUGCUCUGAUCUUUAAUCACAGUUGACAAUACUUGAUUAGGGUUAAUGAUUGUACGCGUUUGAAAUCUUGAUUUGAUAUCAUUAUAACCUUUACUAAUGUUCAGAUGAAUGAA